GCAGUCGUGGCCGAGUGGUUAAGCAGAUUGACUAGAAAAUCAUUGGGGUCUCCCCGCACAGGUUCGAAUCCUGUCGACUGCG
rnacentral:tRNA from 2 species